UACGAAGGGGGCUAGCGUUGCUCGGAAUGACUGGGCGUAAAGGGCGCGUAGGCGGUUUGUACAGUCAGGUGUGAAAUUCCCGGGCUCAACCUGGGGGCGGCACUUGAGACGUAGGAACUGGAGUGAGGAAGAGGGUCGUGGAAUUCCCAGUGUAGAGGUGAAAUUCGUAGAUAUCAGGAGGAACAUCGGUGGCGAAGGCGGCCUCCUGGACACUUACUGACGCUGAGACGCGAAAGCGUGGGGAGCAAACAGG
rnacentral:rRNA from 1 species